CUCCUGCCUCAACCACCUCAGUAGCUGAGAUUACAGAAUCCCACCCAGAAUGCCACAUCACACUUAGUCAUCAUGAAUCUUUACUUCUUUUUGGUUGUGAUGCUUAGAAUCUCCUUUGUUUGAUGACCUUGAGAAUUUGAGGAGCAUUGCAGUAAUACUAAACUGAUAUGCAAAGGAUGCCCGUACUUCAUCAAAAUAUCAAAGUUGUCCAUGACAAGCAAAUAACCCAGCUGUAGUUUAAUUCAACAUCACAGUCCCAACAUGUUUUCAAAGCUUUUGGUCCCAGGAUUAUUCAACCUAGCUCAUAAAAGAAAACAAUAUUGCAUUUCUAAGCAUUUGUUCCUAGAAUUGGCAAGUUUAGUCGAAAAAAGCUGGAAUGACAUUAAAACAACACCCUGUCAUCUUUCAAUCAGUCCUUAGCUGAAGUUAAAAUCCCACUCAUUCUACAUGAUCCAGGUAAAGAUCUUCUUCCUUAAGGCACUUCACUGCUUCAGGCCUCUGUGGUUUGCUUUUUCCCUAAAAAUCCUUAAAUGUUUGGCACCCAUAAACACUAAAUUGAGUUUUCAGUAUUCAAUUCACUCAUUCGUCCAACACUAUUUGAUUGUCUGCUGGAUGCCAGUCACGGGGCUAAGCUCUGUAGAUACAAGGAUGAAAAGGACUCUGACCACAUUCUUAGUAUAAGAGGGAAAUAAACAUGAAAAGUGAUAGUUACGGUAAGUCUGAUAAGCAUUGUCUUAAAAAUUGGAAGAUUAUCACACAUUGACAAUUAUAAAAUUAUGGAGAUGUGUUCUCUCUUUAGCUGUUAGUUAAGUCCCUAAAAUGCUUUAUGCUUUGUCUCCCUGUAUUACCAUGCUGAUCUGUUCAUAAUGCCUGUUGUUAAUUAAGUCUUCUUGAUAAAAUGUUUUUCUCUUACUGUGCUCUUCUCUUAUGUUUUUUUCCCCAUUCUUUCCAUUUCGUACAGUGAACAGUGAGAAGGCAUUUCUUCUCAGCCCAGUACUACUACUUUGAGUUAGUAGAGGGGAGCGGUUAAAAAUUCAGGCUCAGGGUAGAGAUUACCUGCAUUUGAAUCUAGGUCCAGCCACUGGGUAGCCUUUUAACAUAGGCAAGUCAUGCAAACUCACAGUGCCCAAAUUUCCUCAUCUGCAGAAUGAUGAGGAAUAGCACCUAUUCCACAGUGUUCUUGUUAGGAUGAAAUGAGAUACUGUGUGUAAAGUGCUUGGCAUAUAAUAAGCACUGUGCAAAUAGUGGCAUUAUUAUUUGACAGCAGAACAGAGGCCAGACAUUUCUUCAGUUUAUAAUUUAGGACCAAAUAGAAAUGCUAUUAAUAAGAAAUGUAUUGUUUUUAUUUUUGAUUGCACAUGACUGCCGGAGAGCCUCUGUAGCAGAGUGAGUAGCUCCUUAGCAAGAACCAAAAUGGAGGGUAUGGAUGAGGCUCAGAUCAUCACCAUCUGGAGAAUAGAGACAGUGCCUGAGUCACCAGGAAAUCUGUCCCCUGCUCAUCCCAGAAUCCCCAAUCUUUGACUUUUUAAGGGAACAUGUGACAGAUAAUGCCAUCUAGAAGAUUCACAGAGCAACCAAAUAAAGAUGAUUGAGUGGAUGGCUAAAGAAAUAAAUAUGUUCGAAUCUGUACUCAUCUCAUGUCUUUCCCGAUGUCCAAAGUACCGUUGUAAGCAUCUUUCAAAGAUGGGGCUUCUUCUGAGAAGAAAAGUAGACUCAGACUCAUCUAAAGAAAUUUGAGAAGAGAGAAUCAAAACAAGGAUUGCCUCCUUUACUGUAUGUUUUCCAGUGAGAUGAAGAUUUUGGUCAUUUCCUCAUUCAUAUUCCUGCUUUUCAAAACCCAAGCAAGAAAGGAAACUUCUGCAGUGACUUUCUCAUUAUGAAAUCUUAGCAUUCACUAACCGGCCAUGAUGGACAACCAGCCAAAUGGACACAUAUACACUAGUCUGUACCUGCAGAGAAAGAACUGCAAAUCUCUGUGAUCAGAAAACUAUCCUAUCUUGUACAUUAUUAAAAGUCUGCCUCCAAAAAGUUUACUUCUGGAAUACUGUAAUUGAAUAGAAUCAGGGAUCCUACCUGUGUCCUUCAACUUUCACUUCUUGUCUACUGAAGUAAAGGUUGAAUUUGCAUUAGACCCAAUGCAGUAGACCCAGUAGUCUGUGAAUGGAAAUGGGCAAACCUGUGACCUCCCAAAAAUUAAAUGUGAAAGUUUUGUUUGUGUAUACUCGUGGCAUUAUUCUUUUAAUGAAGAGAUAAUCUGUAUA